rnacentral:snoRNA from 1 species
CCUGGCAGUGAUGACGCUCUUGCCCUCACUGGGAACACUGUUCGCUGAUGAGAGCUCUACGUACUCAGCAGAGCUGAGCCAGC